rnacentral:rRNA from 1 species
UACAGAGGGGGCAAGCGUUAUUCGGAAUUAUUGGGCGUAAAGGGCGCGUAGGCGGCCCUUCAAGUGGUAGGUGAAAUCCCUCGGCUCAACCGAGGGGCUGCCCGCCAAACUGAAGAGCUUGAGUCCGGGAGAGGUGAGUGGAAUUCCCAGUGUAGCGGUGAAAUGCGUAGAUAUUGGAAGGAACACCAGUGGCGAAGGCGACUUCCUGGACCAAGACUGACGCUGAGGCGCGAAAGCGUGGGGAUCAAACAGGAUUAGAUACCCGUGUAGU